CCUCAGGUCAAGAGGGAGCACCCGCUGAUUUAAGCAU
rnacentral:rRNA from 1 species